GGGGAAUAUUGCACAAUGGGCGCAAGCCUGAUGCAGCGACGCCGCGUGGGGGAUGACGGCCUUCGGGUUGUAAACCUCUUUCGCUGGGGAAGAAGCCUUUCGGGGUGACGGUACCUGGAAAAGAAGCACCGGCUAACUACGUGCCAGCAGCCGCGGUAAUACGUAGGGUGCGAGCGUUGUCCGGAAUUAUUGGGCGUAAAGAGCUUGUAGGCGGUUUGUCGCGUCUGCGGUGAAAACUCGGGGCUUAACCUCGGGCGUGCCGUGGGUACGGGCAGGCUAGAGUGUGGUAGGGGAGACUGGAAUUCCUGGUGUAGCGGUGAAAUGCGCAGAUAUCAGGAGGAACACCGAUGGCGAAGGCAGGUCUCUGGGCCACUACUGACGCUGAGAAGCGAAAGCAUGGGGAGCGAAC
rnacentral:rRNA from 1 species